GAUGAAGAACGUAGCGAAAUGCGAUAAUUAAUGUGAAUUGCAGAAUUCCGUGAAUCAUCGAGUCUUUGAACGCACAUUGCGCCUCAUGGCAUUCCGUGAGGCAUGCCCAUCUCAGCGUUAGAAAAUAUUCUCAAAUUUUAGUUUUGUGCUAAAAUUUGGAUCAUGUCAAGGAAGCUAUUACUAUUAUUGUGAUCCCUCUUUGGAAAUUGAUAGGUCUUUGAGUUGCUACUCAUAGAACGUGAUGAAUCUUUCUUCGUUCUAUUGUAAUUCACUCUGGUAGUCCUAAAACUUGUAUGCCUGUGGCAUAUCUUGUAAUUUGACCUGAGAUUGGGUAGGGAUACCCGCUGAACUUAAGCAUAUCAAUAAGCGGAGGA
rnacentral:misc_RNA from 1 species